GACAGAGGGUGCAAACGUUGUUCGGAAUUACUGGGCGUAAAGCGUGUGUAGGCGGCCAUGUAAGUUGGAUGUGAAAGCCCGGGGCUCAACCCCGGAAGUGCAUUCAAUACUGCGUGGCUUGAGUAUCGGAGAGGUUGGUGGAAUUCUCGGUGUAGAGGUGAAAUUCGUAGAUAUCGAGAGGAACACCGGUGGCGAAGGCGGCCAACUGGACGAAUACUGACGCUGAGACACGAAAGCGUGGGGAGCAAACAGGAUUAGAUACCCUGGUAGUCCACGCCGUAAACGAUGGGUGCUAGGUGUCACGGGCAUUGACUCCCGUGGUGCCGUAGCCAACGCAUUAAGCACCCCGCCUGGGAAGUACGGCCGCAAGGCUAAA
rnacentral:rRNA from 1 species